GAUGAACGCUGGCGGCGUGCCUAAUACAUGCAAGUCGAGCGAACAGACGAGGAGCUUGCUCCUCUGACGUUAGCGGCGGACGGGUGAGUAACACGUGGAUAACCUACCUCUAAGACUGGGAUAACUUCGGGAAACCGGAGCUAAUACCGGAUAAUAUAUUGCACCGCAUGGUUCAAUAGUGAAAGACGGUUUUGCUGUCACUUAUAGAUGGAUCCGCGCCGCAUUAGCUAGUUGGUAAGGUAACGGCUUAACAAGGCGACGAUGCGUAGCCGACCUGAGAGGGUGGACGGACAGACUGGAACAGAGGCAGAGUCGAGACUCCUACAGGAGGAAGCAGUAGGGACUCUUACGCGAGGGGGGAGUGGCUGACGGUGGAAAACCGGGUGAAGGAUGAAGGUGCUAGGAUCGUAGAACUCUGUUAGUAGGGGAGAAGAAAUGUGUAAGUAACUAUGAACAUAUUGACGGUACCGAGUCAGAAAGCCACGGCUAACUACGUG
rnacentral:rRNA from 1 species